GUGGGGAAUCUUCCGCAAUGGACGAAAGUCUGACGGAGCAACGCCGCGUGAGUGAUGAAGGUCUUCGGAUUGUAAAGCUCUGUUAAUCGGGACGAAAGAGCCUAGUGUGAAUAAUGCUAGGAAGUGACGGUACCGGAAUAGAAAGCCACGGCUAACUACGUGCCAGCAGCCGCGGUAAUACGUAGGUGGCAAGCGUUGUCCGGAAUUAUUGGGCGUAAAGCGCGCGCAGGCGGAUCUGCCAGUCUGUCUUAAAAGUUCGGGGCUUAACCCCGUGAUGGGAUGGAAACUACAGAUCUAGAGUAUCGGAGAGGAAAGUGGAAUUCCUAGUGUAGCGGUGAAAUGCGUAGAUAUUAGGAAGAACACCAGUGGCGAAGGCGACUUUCUGGACUGUAACUGACGCUGAGGCUCGAAAGCCAGGGGAGCGAACGGGAUUAGAAACCCUUGUAGUCC
rnacentral:rRNA from 1 species